rnacentral:rRNA from 1 species
UACGUAGGGCGCAAGCGUUAUCCGGAAUUAUUGGGCGUAAAGAGCUCGUAGGCGGCUUGUCGCGUCAACUGUGAAAACCCGUGGCUCAACCAUGUGGUCUGCAGUCGAUACGGGCAGGCUAGAAUUCGGUAGGGGAGACUGGAAUUCCUGGUGUAGCGGUGAAAUGCGCAGAUAUCAGGAGGAACACCGGUGGCGAAGGCGGAUCUCUGGGCCUGUUCUGACGCUGAGGCGCGAAAGCUAGGGGAGCGAACAGG